rnacentral:rRNA from 1 species
GACGAACGCUGGCGGCGUGCCUAAUACAUGCAAGUAGGACGCAGUUGCGAACGGGUGAGUAACGCGUAGGUAACUACCUAUUAGAGGGGGAUAACUAUUGGAAACGAUAGCUAAUACCGCAUACUAGUAGCUGGACCUGCGUUGUAUUAGUUAGUAGGUAGGGUAAUGGCCUAUCUAGGCAACGAGACAUGGCCGACCCUGGAGGGUGGACGACCCCCCUGGGGAUGAGAAACGGCCCAGACUCCUACGGGAGGCAGCAGUAGGGAAUCUUCGGCAAUGGGGGGAACCCUGACCGAACAACGCCGCGGGAGUGAAAAAGGUUUUCGGAUCGUAAAGCUCUGUUGUUAAGGAAGCGGUACUUAACCAGAAAGGGACGGCUAACUACGUGCCAGCAGCCGCGGUAAUAC